UACAAAACUUGUCUACUGCUGCCUACGAUUGACAAAACUGCUUUCGGCGCAACGACUAUUAUAUCACUUCACAGUCAUCAUCCACACAUACAGUAGAUUAGAAUGAAUCACAGACAGGAGGAAGCACAUGCAAAUGAGCACUACUUUACUGGAAACUACCAUUAUUUUAAAAGGGUGAACAAAGGAAACUCAAAGCUUUUUGUGUUCUUCAAAAAUAGUAAUUUAAAUCUUUUUAAAAAUCUCAUAGCUAUGAAAGGAUUUUUGGUUUGACAGAUUAUAGAAAAAACCUGGAUGGAAAAUUUCCAAAACACUGAAUUAACUUUUUAAUCCUUUCUUUACAUGGUCACACAAAAAGGGCACCGUGUAAAAUGGAACUUCUGUGUUGCUAAGGUAACUAGAUUACCCAGGUCUUUAGCAAUUCAUAAAGUUAUCAUUAUUGCUAAACAUGUUGUCAAUAUUUUGACUGUUCUCAACACUCAGCACAGUAAUUACAGAAUCAACUUUCAGUGCAGAUUAUAAUAUGAAGGUCAGAACAUGAUUACCUAAAGACACAAGUGACCUUCAAAGGUAAAAAAAGAAGCAAAAAUGACUUUGUAUAAAUUCCUAAUUUGGUGCCAAGAAGUGAAGGCGUUACUUUCUCAGUUCAAGUUUAACUGCGGAAAUUAUGUCACCAUUUUGUUUAUAAAACGCAUUUUCCAAACUAUAGUUUCUUUCUCACCAACAAGAACAAGACAAUACGAAAUGACAAGCGGGAUAUGGUGUGUGGCCAGAAAGCGAAUGCCUUCGGCUGUGCUCAUCGGCACAAUGAAUGAACGAACAAACGAACGAGGACACAAUAGGGCCCAGAAGAGCGGAGAGGUCUAGGUCCAAUGUCUUCCACAAAAUUAUUACAAAACAUGUAAUUUCGUCGCUCUACAUGUUUGACGUUUUAGCUUGUAGGCCAGGACAUGAACAAAAGGAAUAAUCAUUUUGAAAGUUCGCGCGUGAUACGAUCUACAGUAGCUUUGCAGUGGUUUGACCUGGAGGUCAUAUUUCUCUUGGUAAUCACCUAUGAUGUUGCCACUAAAAAGUGCACAGGGAAAUCGGUUACUUGCCGUUCAAACACGCUAUCCAUUGCAUGUUUUUAAUUGAUUAUUUUAAAUAAUUUUUUUCGAACUGGUCCCCCUUAUACUGCGAGAAAAAAAGCGAUAAAUCUAUUUUUAAUCAAUUUUUUCUUUCCAGUAGAAACAGGCCCUUAGUUUUCCUCAAAAGAAUUUCUAUAACAGCAACAUAGCAA